UGCAGUUCCAAUAGUAACAAUUGCUGCUGGUGGUGACACAAAAUAAAUUUUGAAGAGCAUCCCAGUAUGAUCAGAAUUUAUGCUUAAUUGUGUAAACUGGCUGACAAGUUAGCUUUUUGAAAAAUAAUUCCUAACAGUUUCACAUCUUGCAUAUUGCUUUGUGAAAUAAGGACAAAUUUCAAAACCACCCUCAAAUCCUUUUACCCUUUAUGUGUGGGGUAUAAGUACUAGCAAAUGCUUCUGCAUAGCCUCACAAAGCAUAUUGCAUGCUUUGUAGGGCUCUGGGGAGCAUUUUGCUCAUGAACUAAGUAUGUUUUAGUAAGAGUUGGUUCUUUCUGCAUAUUACAGGUAACAGAUUUCAAAGUGCUACUGCUCGACCUCAUGUGAAAGUUAGAUUCACUUUUAUUAUGUAAUGUCAUAAACCGGGCCAGGCUUUUCAUUAUAGGGGACCAAAUUAGUGGCAGCAUCAUGAUGAAAAGGUUUCUGGCAAGAGCUCAAAGUGCAUAAUUUGUCUAGAAAAUGUUUAUCUUGUUCACACUUUGAGUUCUACGGGGGGUUGGGUUUUGUUUGUUGGUUUGUUUGUUUUACAGAAUCUCAUUUUUGUUUACCAGUAAUACAGUUUCCAGCUACGGUAUUUGCCAGAAAGAAGUACCAGCAAUGUUUGACUAAAUUUUGGUGGUUUAUUUUCUCAUGUACCUGGGAAAUGAAGAAUGGUCCAGCGGUUAAGAUCCUGAGUAGUUAGUUUAUAAACUUUCAAGCA